AAUUAUAGUAAUUUAUAUUAAUCUUAUAGUCUACACAAAUAUAUUUAAAAUUUUGUAGCUCAUACAUUGUUAUUAGAUUUCCAUAGGACAGUUAGAAAAAUUGGCAAAAAGAUAAACAUGACUAAAUUUCAAAAAGCAGAACUCUGAUUUUGUGUGAUUCAGUUGUGCAUAUACACAUAUAUUAUUUUUGAAUUAUUUUCCAUUAUAGAUCAUUACAAGAUAUUGACUGUAGUUCCCUGUGCUAUGCAGUAAACCUUUGUUGCUUGGUGCAUAUCUAUUUUUGUAAAUUAGCAAUCUAGCAUUCUAUUCAUUAGUCAGGCUUUUUCAGACCUCCCCACUGAUGCCGACACCCACUCCUCCCGACACAGAGGCCUCUUUGCGGCUCCGCAGGACAGCCCUGCCCCCUGCCCGCUGCCCGCUGCCCCCGGCCUCGGUUCAGGUUGGAGCCGGAAGGCUGGUAGGAGGAGAGAGCUGGACACAGAUGGAGGGCCCCCUGCGUUCCUGCUUCACCCUGCCUCUCCCCAGGGCCCCUGCCAUCCCGCCAGCCCUGCCCACCUGUGCAGCUGGGAGUUGGAGUCAGGAAUAGAUUGUCUUUCGGCUCCUGUGAAGACAGUGAAGGGAGCCCCAGAAUCCUAGGCUCACGGGGCUGUGGGUAUCUUCGCCCCCUCCCACCCUCUAUGCAACCGGACACAGGGAGGCCAGGAACGUGCAAAGGCUGCUCAGCCAGCAGGGGAGUGGAGCUCCUCCAUCCAGGCCUGGGAGAGUGCUCACCUGGCCCCCUGCCCCAGCCAGAGCACAGCACCACCCCCCACCUCCCCCCAAGGAGGAGCAGAGCUUGGGGAGGGCCAUGCCCACAGGAGGUCACUUUUCGGGAGAGGGCUGUGGGCCCUAGUCAACCAGCAGAAAGCCUGCCUCCUGCCUCUCUGAGGCUGGCUUCUAGAAAUGGGAACCAGGAUGGAUAAACAGGACUGACGCCCUCCGAGGUGCCCAGAGCCUUGCAGGCCAGGUAGGUAGAGGGAGCAGCCAGCCCUGCCCUGGAGGGAGACCAUAAUCACCUGUGCUCAGGUGUCAUCGUGACCUUCCUUUACCCAACCCUCUAGAUGCUCCUCGAGCAUAUUCACACCUGAGAGUUCUUUUCAUCUCCACAAAGCCUGAAAACAUGUCAUUAUUAUUUGCAUUUUAUAGUUGAGGAAACUCAGGGGGUGGGCAGGGAACAGUGUCCCACUGGAUCCCCUCCCUGGCUCAGCUGCCAACUCAUGGGGCGCUCUGGCAAGCCUCCUCUCCACUCUGGGCCUCAGUUUUCCCAUCUGCAAAAUGAGACAGCUGAACCCAAUGGCCUCUGAGGACCCUCCUAGUAUUCAAUUCUCCCAUCACAGGGCAACAACCCUCAACAACCUGUUAACUGAACUGCCCCCAACACCUCUUACAGGUAAAUAAGCACCUGCGUCCCUCCCAGCUUGUUGCAUUUUCCCAAGCAUAGGUUAUUAUCACCCCCAUUCUGCAUACAAGGAAAGUACAGGCAACCCGGGACAGGAGGAGACUUGCUUGAGAUCCCACCAGGAGUUAGUGGCUAAAAUGGAGUGUGAAGCUAAUAGAUCUAACUAGAUUUCCCCCCAACUUCCCUAGAACUGUGCUGUCCAGUCCGGCAGCCACUGGCACAUGUGGCUGUAAAGUGUGUGUGGCUGGCGGAAUAACGCCCUCCACAGGUGCCCACAUCCUAAUCCUCGGAUCUUGUGGAUAUUGAGAAGUCAUACGUGCAGCUCACGUGAUAUUUCUACUGAACAUCCCUAGAAGGCUCUUCUCAUCGCCCUCGUGAAGGGGCAGGCCCUACCCCGCUGUUGCAGCUGGGGAUGGGGCCUUACACUGGGUGAGGGAAUCACCGCACACACACACACACACACACACACACACUGCAGACUGGGGACCUUGGUGGUGGGCGAGAGUCCCGGCCCCCCCCCCCACUCCCAUCUGCCUGGGCUGAGCCCUGCCUCUGGGCCAGCCCAUGUCCCUGCUAGACGUGACUUCUAUUUUUAGCAGCUGUACUCACUGCCUCUGCACAGCUGGCUCCAAGGCUUGCUGGGUGGGGGCCAGCCCCAGGCCUGCCCUCUCCCCGCCAACGGGGGUCUCAGGAGAAGCCGACUCCCUGGCACAGGGGCCUCUCAGAGCACAGAAGCUGGCCUAGCGGCAUCUCUGGCAAAUGAAGACUGUCUUCCUCUCAUGUUGUCUGUCAUGAGGCCGGGCUCAGAGGCUCUCCAGGCUGGGAGCGGGCAGGGCAAGUCUGAGUGUUCCUCCCCAAGGCCAGACCUGCCCAGGGAGGCGGGCAGUCACCUGCUCUAAGGGGGGCCUUUCUCUGGAGCAUUUUCUAUGCUGGAAAGUAUUUUAGGCCAACGAAAAGGAGAGGGAGGGAAGAAGGGAGGAAGGUGGAUAAAGCCUAGCUCCAGGGUGUGCAGUUGACCUCUCCUGAUGCAGCCGGUCCUGAAAGGACCAGCACACAGGGAAAGGCAGCAUGGCUCGAAACCCAGGGCUGCCUUGUGGUUAGAACUCAGGCCCCGGCCCCCAGGACAGCUGGGCUCCAUUGCUGCCCGUCUGUUGGGGCCCUCCUCCCCCUCCUCCACUGCACCAUCGGCAACAGGGGGAGUUAGAGGGCACGGUGAGGUCCUGGGCGCAAGUGCCCAGCCCUGGGUCAGGCACCCGGGAGCCCUCCUGGGUAAACACUUGCUAUUGGUAGUAUUUCCCCAGGGCUCAGAGUCCUCGUGUCAAAAGACCCCACAGCGCGUGAGGUCCCUGUGCUCAUCAUCACCAUUCAACAGAGGAAGAGACGGAGGCUGAGGGCGGGGAGGCCAGUCUUCAGAGUCGCGGCUGGUGAGGGGCAGAUCGAGAAAGCUUUGGGUAACAGUCCUAGGAAGGUAUAAUUAAGAUAUAACUCACAUAGCGUACAGCUCACCCAUUUAAACGUGCAACUCAAUGGCAUUUAUAUAUAUUUUUUCUGUUUCUUUGGUGGAACCCUAACUGAUACAGCUACAGUCUAGAAGACUUGUUUUCAGUUUUAAAUAAUGUUCUAUUCUCUAAACAUAAAUUUGUUUUUAAAUGGACAAAAUACACGAUCAUUUAAAAUUAUAUAAAGAUAGGGUGCAUUUUAUGAGAAGUAAGUCGUACUUCAAUAAAGCCAUUUAAAAUAAUAAUAUAAAAGUGAUAGCUGCUCAUUUUUUUUUUUUGCUCAGUAUUUUUAAAUGGAAGAGAGAAAUAGAGAAAAGUGUCUCACUGCUCAGAAAUAAAUACUAUUAACUUAGUGGUGCAUUUCUUGCCAGAUACAGAUAGAUAAAUAUAUACCAAAUACACACACACACACACACAUGCACAAUCUUCAAAUUGGUAUUAUAUGUGUAUACCAAUCUUUAUCUUUCAUUUUCCAUUUCAUAUUAUUAUUAUUAACAUUUUUCCAUACCAUUAAAGAUCUAUGAAAAAUUA